rnacentral:rRNA from 1 species
UACGUAGGUGGCAAGCGUUGUCCGGAUUUACUGGGCGUAAAGAGCGCGCAGGCGGUCGUUCAAGUCGCGUGUGAAAGCCCCCGGCUCAACUGGGGAGGGUCACGCGAUACUGAUCGACUGGAAGGCAGGAGAGGGUAGUGGAAUUCCCGGUGUAGCGGUGAAAUGCGUAGAUAUCGUAAGGAAGACCAGUGGCGAAGGCGGGUCUCUGGACAGUUCCUGACGCUGAGGCACGAAGGCCAGGGGAGCAAACGGG